rnacentral:rRNA from 1 species
GACGAACGCUGGCGGCGUGCUUAACACAUGCAAGUCGAACGGAAAGGCUCCAGCUUGCUGGAGUACUCGAGUGGCGAACGGGUGAGUAACACGUGGGUAAUCUGCCCUGCACUCUGGGAUAAGCCUGGGAAACUGGGUCUAAUACUGGAUAUGACCUUUCUCCUUAUGGGGUUUGGUGGAAAGUUUUUCGGUGUAGGAUGAGCCCGCGGCCUAUCAGCUUGUUGGUGGGGUGAUGGCCUACCAAGGCGACGACGGGUAGCCGGCCUGAGAGGGUGAUCGGCCACAUUGGGACUGAGAUACGGCCCAGACUCCUACGGGAGGCAGCAGUGGGGAAUAUUGCACAAUGGGCGGAAGCCUGAUGCAGCGACGCCGCGUGAGGGAUGACGGCCUUCGGGUUGUAAACCUCUUUCAGCAGGGACGAAGCGUAAGUGACGGUACCUGCAGACGAAGCACCGGCUAACUAUGUG